rnacentral:rRNA from 1 species
CUGCGGCUGAUACCGGAUGAUUCCUGAGGGACAAAGAUUUAUCGCCUUUGGAGGGGCCCGCGUCGGAUUAGGGUAGUUGGUGGGGUAACGGCUCACCAAGCCUAUGAUCCGUAACUGGUCUGAGAGGAUGACCAGGUCACACUGGGACUGAGACACGGCCCAGACUCCUACGGGAGGCAGCAGUGGGGAGUAUUGGACAAUGGGGGCAACCCUGAUCCAGCAAUGCCGCGUGGGUGAUGAAGGCCUUCGGGUUGUAAAGCCCUUUCGGCGGGGACGAUGAUGACGGUACCCGCAGAAGAAGCCCCGGCUAACUUCGUG